ensembl:lncRNA
AAGGAGGAGUGCAACUCGGAGCUAUUUAAUCCACUUUUGAAGCAAACAGUCGUUUAUUGAGCCUGGACGCGCGCGACCCGCUUCCAUAAGUUAAAAUGGCCACUGCGGCGCAACACAAACCGCUUCUUCUCUUAUUUUGGUCGAAGUUUUCUCGCAGCUGCAGCCAAAGCUCACGUGCUUCCAUUGGCUGCAGGCGCGCGCAGCUGGCGCCUCGUGCACGUUUCCAUUGGCCCCUCAGCUGUCAUUUAAGCGGAGCCCCCCAUUGAACGUGGUCCCGGGGUUUGUCUGAGAGCGAUUCCAGGCAGCGACCAUUAUGUACCGUACGCGCUGUCCUCCCUCCCCGGUGACGCGCACGCACACCGCCUUUUGUUUGUUGUGUACGUGCUCGUGUUGUUGCUCAGACCUGCAGGUGAUCCUCAUCCUGCACCGCUGGACCCUUCUGUGAAGGUUCUGUGGAGACAAAGGAGGGCUGUUCUCCUCUGCUAGGACAGCCAGCCUCACCUGGUGGAGACAUCACACCUCUCUGCACUAAGACAACUGACCACAUGUGCAGACUGCGAGAAGGAGGACCAGUGAGACCAGUUGGUACCCAACCUGAGUGGGAGACUACUGGUAGACAGACAGGUUGACAAGAAGACUAAACAGGCAGACAGACUGGUAGACAGACAGGUGAACAAGAAGGCUGGUAAGAAGGUAGAUGUUGGGAAAGCUUUAAAUAAUGUUUACACCUCAAUAUUACACAAAGUGUCUCUGAGAGACACUUUGUCUCUCAGAGACACUUUGUGUUCUGGUUCCACUGAUAUUCAAGAUGUUUGUGAGUCAAUGUCCAGAUAAUCUAGUGGUGCAUGAGGUGGAGAAGAUGCUGGUCUAUCUCCACGGUGGAUUACUGGUGGGUCUAUUUUCCAGCUAUAUAUUACUGUACCAGAGAAACAUUCCUUCUUUUAGAGUAUCAUAUGUUGUCCAUUCUGUCUCCUACUUCAAGUGUCAUUUAAUAAAUGUCCUGUUUACACUGGUGUCAAGUAACCUUUUUUUAACAGUAGAAGAAUGCAGGUAGGUAUCAAUGCUAAUGACACCAAUAGCUGGUUCUAGAGGUAUGAUGUCAUAAAGAUGUUCAAAAUAAAGCAAACUGAGAUGGAAGUGCAUUUAAUCAGAUCCUAGAAAGGUCAGCCAAUAUAUUUCACAACUUUAUGACUU